UAGGGGUCUAAUUGAAGCUACGGCUGCCAGCCUACACCAGUCGUAGCAGUGCCAAAUUUGAGCCGCAUUUGUGACCUACACCACAGCUCACAACAAUGCUGUAUCCUUAACCCACAGAGCGAGGCCAGGGAUCAAACCUAUGUCCUCAAAGAUGCUGGCAGAUUCGUUUCUGCUGAGCCAUGACGGAAACUCCUGUUCUGCCCCUUUUUGUUUCACAUAUGUUCCCACUCCAGCUGUGAAAGGCAUCUCUGCAUCUCUCUCCCGACUUUGCUUCUCUCAUAGAUGAUUUUAGACCUUUGCUAUUGAUGUGCCCAGACUGGAACAUUUGGCAUACCUUUCAGAUCUCGUGUCAAAGAGUCUUACUUCAGGUCUUUGCUGUUCUCUUGGCUAAAUCAAGUAUCCUUUAAUAAAAUAUCAUGCAAGGUACCUUCCAUAUUUUUAAUAGCAUUUAUUUCUGUUUGCAAUUAUGUAUUUGCAUGAUUGUUGGAUACUGUCUGUUUCCCCAUAUAAAAUGUAAAGUCCAUGAGACUUUUCAGUGUCUACGAAGGCCUAGAACAGCCUUGGCAGCAGAUGAGAAAUAUUAAGUGGCUGACUGAAAUACAUAACUAGACAAUUAAAAGACAAAAUGAUUAAUUCCAAAAUGAGGUUAAGUACAUAUGAAGUCACAGUGUUGGCAGGUUAACCAUUAUUUUUUUGGGAAUACAUUUGCUGUUGGAGCAUUGGUUUCACAGGCUUGUAAUUUUACUUAAAAUAAAUAGAGACUAGUAGUAUUUUGAAUUUUCAAUUUCCAAGUACAGAUUAAGAGCUUCCAGAAGUUGAUUGUACUUGAAUGACUUUUUAGAGUCGAAACUUUCCCCUUUACUCACAUCUGGAUGGUAUUUGAUACUGUUUUAAAAAGAGAGUUAGUUGCAUACCUCUUGAUGUUUACUAUAUGCAAUAUAUUUAUGUUAGUUGCCUAAGGCAUAAAUAUUUUAAAAUGAUACCAGAUCUUAAGACAAGAAAUCACAGAUGUUAUAAAAGUUUUUCUCAGCUCUCAAAAAAAGUUAGAAAAAAUCAGGACGAGUAAUAUAAUAUUGGAAUUAUGCUUUGAUGUUACUUUCUGGUCUUCAGACCAUAAUUUUCUGUAUGACUCUUGUUAGCAGAUUGAACUGUUCGUAGGAAAACUCUUAAAGCUGUAGUAUUUUCUUAAAAAUGGUUUAGUACUGUUAUUUACAUUGUAAAAUUAAUGCUUUCAAUAAGAUUUUGCUUUCCAUCUCUCCUGAAUUCUCCCUAAGAGUGCACAACUUCAAAAAUAAAGAAGCACAGUCAGCAGAAAAAAAGAGGUGGUCUGAGCAUUUAUGCGUUAAAUAUGCAUGUUAAUUAGGAAAAAAAUUAGAAAAAUAUGAAAACAGAUGUUACAUAAAUUAUUGCAGUCCCAGGGCAGCAGUAACUUAUACACUGACAAUAAUUUUUAUAUGUGCAUGUGUAUGUCUAUUUCUAGAUUUCUCAAUGUUUAUGCAAUUCCAUAGAGAAUAACUAGAAGAAGAACUGGUAUAUCCUUUCAGUGAGACUAUGGUAAACAUUCCUUCUGCAUGUGGCUUGCUGAGCAAGUCUGGGGUUUACGUUCACUCUUCCUGGACAGAUAGUCUUCCAUGUUUCCUAAUUCUUCCGGUAGUCUUUUUCCUUUCUUCUUGGUUUCUGGGUAGUAUAUCAGUGAGAUCUUUUAUUGGAUAUGUCCUAUCCAAACAAGAAAGUAAAUCCUGAUCCCAGCAGUGGAAGAAACAUAAAAUUGACUUGGGUGUAAAGUAUGUACUUAGAAACAAAACAAGUUACAACUACUCAAAAUACUGAUUGUAGUUACUUUUUCUUUGGUUACUGUCGUACAUCAUGAAGGAAAUAGCCCUUUUUCUUGGAAUAGUAUUGACACAGUAAUAUGAUAGUCUAUACUAAGGGUUACAGAAACACACAUUCAUCAGAUACACCUAUGUUGGAAUAAUUAAAAGACAUUUGAAUAUCUUUCAUUCUAAAGAGACAUCCGUAAUAUAAAAAUGGUCUGUGUUUUUACAAGGGAAAAAUGAGAAAUAGAGACAUGCUUUAUUUUAGUGGUAUGGCAAUUUUUAGUUCAACCAUACAGAAAACCAAAUGACUAUAUUGCCGUCCAAGAAGCUGUUGACAAUAUCUAGGUUUUUUUUCCAUACAUAAAUUAUAUAAUUUAGAAACAUGUCAUUUGUAACUUUUCAUGUAAGAUUGAAAGUUAAAAUAAGGAAAUGCUCCAUCAGAAUGUAGUAAAUCAUUCUCUUUAUCAAACGAACAAACAGAACAUGAAUUCUAUUCAGUACAGGGGCAUAAAACAGUUUCUGGAAAUCUAUCUAGAGAGCAAUGCCACAUUCAUCUCUAGUCUUUAGAAAUCAUACUUUGUUGGUUUUAGUAGCCUAUGAAGCUGAAAUGUGUUUUAAGUAAUUUCUCUUGAAUCUCAGUAGGUUUCAGACAUAUUAUCAUGUUUUUCAGUUCCAUGUUUUUGAUUAUAUUUUACAUUAUAUUACCUAACUACUGUUGUCCUUUUGUACGUAUGCUUGAGCCCUCAAUAAACUUUAGCAGGUUAUUGGGAGUAACAAAAACCAAUAAAGAAUGGAUCUAGACAAGAGUGGUAAUAAAUAUGUUUAGUAUUUUAUUAUUAUUAAGAGGUUCUUUACUUAAAUUAGAUAGCUGUUUCAGAAAUUUUGUUGUCACUUUUGCAGAUUUUACAAAGGGAUAUACCUAUGUCAGAUACGGUUUGUGAAAGAAUACUAAAGUGUAUUGUUAAAGGUAAUAAAUGUUUUUCUUUUUCUCCAGGCAAUAAGGCUAUUGAAAUUAAUUUUUAAUUCACAAAUAAUAUUUACUUACCACAGUGAUACAUCUGUAUUUUAAUUUUAUGUUUUCUUAAUGCUUUAGAAUGCAUUUUCAAUGGAAUUUUUUCAUCUUUGUUUUCAAAUGUCAGAUUUCCAUUUGUUAUGUGAAUUUUAAUACUUGAUAUUAUUUUACUAUUAGAGUAGUGUAUUCAUUAUUGAUCACUUUUAUUACAUUUCAGUGAAACAAGGUGGUAACAGGUGAUUUGUUUUAUAUUGAGGUGUUUUAGAUUUUUUUUUUGUAUUUUAAUGCUUUUUAUUGAGGUAUUAUAAAAUGACUUUCUUCUGGGAGUUAAAUUAAAAUGUAAAUUUUUUGAACUUGCUUUUUGCAGUGAUGGCUUUGGUUUAGCAUUCCUGUUUGGGGACAGGAAUAUUUGAAGCUAUUUUGUUUGUUUAUUUAUUUUUCUGGGUUUUUGCUGUUUUUACAGCAGCUCAGUUGAGGGAGAACUCAGCUUAUGUCUGUUUUCUUGAUUUUUUUUGUUUCCUAUUUUCAUCCAAGACUUGUGGAGGAGACCUCUGUUGUACAGAGCCUGAAGUCAUCUAUGAUCCAUAACAAGAGCAUAAGUUUUCAAGUGUCAGUUAGAUUUGUGGAUCAGUAAAGUUUUCCUGAUAGGUAAGCAUAUAUUUAUUCAUAUGUACAUCUAAAACUUCAGUACUGUCAAUGCCUUAGUCUGUUUGGGCUUUGGCAACAAAAAUACCGUAGACUAGGUAUCUUACAAAUAACAGAAAUUUAUUUUUCACAGUUUUGGAGGUUGGAAAAUCAAAGAACAAGGUGCCAGCAGAUUUAUUGUCUGGUGAGGACCCACUUGCUGGUUCAUAGGUGGACCUCUUCUUGCUGUGUCUUCACAUGGUAGAAGGAAUGAAAGAGCGCAACAAGGUUUCUUAUGAAGGCACUGAUCCCAUUCAUGAAGGCUCUACUAUCCUCAUGACCUAAUCACCUCCCAAACCCUCAUUCCUGAUACCAUUACACUGGAAAUUAUGAUUUCAACAAAUGAGUUCGGGGGGAGAUAAACAUUCAUUUCAUAGUAAUGCCUUAUGUUUCUGUGUGUUUGUUUAUACACUUCUGACAGGUUUAGAUCAUAGGCUCCUUUAGUAUUGCCCUCUAACACAGUGACUCAGAGUCCCUAUCAGCUUCUUUCCACUUGCUGUAUCCACCCACCAGCUUCCAAUCCUUUCCUUUUCCUCGUCAUUUUCCUUCUCAUUUAACUGAGUCUGCAUGGGAACUUUAAAAAUGUUUACCACCAGCAGACAUUUAGGAGUUUUCUUACUAAUCACUUUUUGUAUCCAUAUCUUUUUUUCUUUUAGUCUUUUCAUUCCUUCCUAACUUCGAUCCCAGGCUAGGGGUCUAAUCAGAUUUCAUUUCAUUAAAUUUUUUGAAGGAGUUUUAAAAUUAGAAUGAUUAAACUUAGAGUUGAAGAUAUCUCAGAUAGGUAACAUUCACAUACUCUUUUUACCACACCCAUAGUAAGAAAUAAAAUUUACAUUUAUGAGCUGUUUUCCACAGGUGUAAAUGCACAAAUGAAAUUAAAAAAAGUUGAAACAAUUCUAAGCUGACUAUGUGGGAGUAUAUGCCAUGCGCUAUUCUAAUAUAUAUAUUUUUGUAUAUUUUAACAUAUACUAGUGUUCAUAAUUAAAUUUAUUUCCUUAUCUAAUAGUGGAUCAUCAUCGUAAUUUCAAAAGUCAUGCUUUAGAUCACUUAUGUGUUUGUUCAUGACUGGAUUUUUUUUUUUUUUUUUUUUUUUUUGUCUUUUUGCCAUUUCUUGGGCUGCUCCCUCGGCAUAUGGAGGUUCCCAGGCUAGGGGUCUAAUCGGAUCUGUAGCUGCCAGCCUAUGCCAGAGCCACAGCAACGCAGGAUCCGAGCCGUGUCUGCAACCUACACCACAGCUCACGGCAAUGCUGGCUCUGGAUCGUUAACUCACUGAGCAAGGGCAGGGAUCGAACCCGCAACUUCAUGGUUNNNNNNNNNNNNNNNNNNNNNNNNNNNNNNNNNNNNNNNNNNNNNNNNNNNNNNUAGGGAAAAUAAAUACAAUCAGGCAUUUCUUUUUCUGUCUCAGGCAAGCUGCCUUUUCUCUUGUCUCCUCUGUGCUUCUCUUCUCUGUCCAUUUGCAACAAACUAUUAAAAGACUUGGGGAAGGAACAGUGUAACUGCUGGGAAACGCUAGAACACUUGGUUCUUCUGUAGUAGUAAGAACACAGAUAACAAUUCUCAGAUCUAAAAAUUUAAAAGGAGGAUAAAUCUUUGAUAGAAUCAUUCCUAUACGGUAAGGUAUAUAUUUAUUUAUUCUCUUCUUCUUUCUGUAUGUGUAAGCUGUAUGUGCCUGCUGAUGCUCUUAAGUCAGGCUUGGUUUAGAACAUUUUAAACUUUUAGAGUCCUUUGUAUCAACUCAGAAUAACACAGAUCCUUUCCCAAAGUGGUAUUUUCUAGUGCUCAUUCCAAUUUUAUUUAACAUUUUUAUACUUUUAAUAAAUUGCAAGCAUUUUUUUUUUGUAAAAGGAAUAUGUUAGGUUGAUAUAUAUUGAAAAGUAAAAAGAUGAAAAUUAUCCCUAAUCCAUUGUAGCUAAAGCAGUUCUAAAGGGAAGUUCAAAGUGACAAACACUUGAAAAAGAAAGCUCUAGGAUACCUACUCUCAUCACUUUUAUUCAACGUAGUUUUAGAAGUCCUAGCCAGAGCAGUCAGAGGUAAAAGAAAUAAAAGGAAUCCAAGUUGGAAAGGAAGAAGUAAAACUGUCUCUUCAGAUGACAUGAUAUUAUAUGCAGAAAAUCCUGAGAGUUCCCAUUGUGGCUCACUGGUAAUGAAACUAACUAAUAUCCAUAAGGAUGUGGGUUUGAUCCCUGACCUUGCUCAGUUAAGGGAUCCAGCGUUGCCAUGAGCUGUGGUGUAGGUCACACAUGCAGCCUGGAUUCCGAGUUGCCGUGGCUGUCAUGUAGGCUGGCGGCUACAGCUCUGAUUUGACCCCUAGCCUGGGAACUUACAUAUGCUGUGAGUGCACGCCCUCCCCCCCCAACCAAAAGGCAAAAAAAAAAAAAAAAAAAAAAAAAAAAAAAAAGAAAAUCCUUAAGAUAAGACACUGAAACUAUAAAAGCUCAGAGAAUUUGGUAAUGUUGCAGGAUACAAAAUUAAUACACCGAAAUCUGUUGCAUUUCUAUACUUUAUUAAACUAUCAGAGAAAUUAAGGAAACAAUCCCAUUUACCAUUGCACCAAAAAUAAUAAAAUACCUAGGAAUAAACCUUCCCAAGGAGGUAAAGACCUGUACUCUGAAUGUACUCUGAAAACUAUAGGACACUAAUAGUAGAAAUUAAAGAUGACACAAACAAAUGCUCUUGGAUUGGAAGAAUUAAUAUUGUUAAAAUGACCAUAUUAUCCAAGGCAAUCUACAGAUUUAUAGCAAUUCCUAUCAAAAUACUAGUGGCUUUUUUUCAUAGAACUAGAAAAUUUUUUUAAUUGGUAUGGAAACACAAAAGACCUCAGGUAGCCAAAACAAUCUUGAGAAAGAAGACAGAGCUGGAAGAAUCAUACUCCUUGACUUCAGACCAUAACACAAAGCUACAGCAAUCAAAACAGUAUGAUAUGGCACAUACCCAGGGUUGUUUUUGCAGUGAAUAACCAUAAGGAACAAGACUGUUUCUCAUAUAAAAAGAACUGAUCCUCACCAUUUCUAUAUAAUAUAGUACUGGAAGUUCUAGUGAGAAGUCAGACAAAAAUAAAUAAAAGAUAGUCAGACCAGAAAAGAAGUAGUAAAACUGUUUCUAUUUGCAGAGGUACCACCAAAACACUGUUGGAACCAAUAAACAAAUUCAUUGAAAUUGCAGGAUAAAAAAAAAUGUAAAGAUCUGUUGCAUUUUUGUACACUCUAAAUGAACUGUCUGAGAAAUUAAUAAAACAAUCCUGUUUACAGUUUUAUCAAAAAGAAUAAAACCUGGUUAUAAAUUUAACCAGAGAGGUGAAAGAUAUGUACACUAAAUAUUAUAAAACAUUGAUGAAAGAUAUUGAAGAAGACACAAAUAAAUAGAAACUACUCUGUAUUCAUAGAUUGGAAAAGUUUAUGUUGUUAAAAAUGUCCAUUCUAUCUAAAGCAAUCUCCAGGUUCAAUGAACUCUAUCAGAAGUUUAGUAGCAUUUUUCACAAAUACUAAAAGCAAUCCUAAAAUUUGUAUGGACCUGCAAAAGAUCUGAAUAGCCAAAGCAGCCUUUUUUUUUUUUUUUUUUUAAUGGCUGCACCUAUGGCAUAUGGAAGUUCCCAGGCUAGGGGUUGAAUUGGAGCUGCAGCUGCUGGCUUAUGUCACAGACAGCAAUGUGGGAUCUGAGCCACAUCUGCGACCUACACCACCCACAACAUAUAGCAGUGCUGGAUCCUUAACACACUGAGUGAGGCCAAGGAUUGAACCCGCAUCCUCAUGGAUACUAGUUAGGUUUGUAACACACUGAGCCACAGUAGGAACUUCCAAAGCAGUCUUGAGGAAAAAUAAAGCUAGAGGCAUCACACUUUCUGAUUUCAAGCAAUAUUACAAAGCUAUAUAAUCUAAACAGUGUGGCAUCGGCAUAGAAACAGAUAGAUUAAUGGAACAGAAGUGAGAUCUUAUAAAUCAUCACAUAAGUGGCCAAUUAAUGACAAAAGAACUAAGAAUAUUCAUUGGGCAAAGAAUAGUCUUUUUAAUAAGUAAUGUUGUGAAAAUUGGACCCCUAUCUUAUACCAUACACAGAAAUGAACGCCAAAUGAAUUGAAGAUUUGAACAUAAAACCUGAAGCCAUAAAAUGGGGUAAACUGCUUGAAAUUGGUCUUGGCAAUGAUUUCUUUGAAUUUGGCAACAAAAGCAAAACUCAAUAAAUGGGCUGGAGUACAUCAAAGUAAAAAGCUACUGUGCGAUAAAGGAAACUAUAAGCAAAAGGAAAAUGCAACCUAAUGAAUAAGAGAAAGUAUUUUCAAAUCAUGUGUCUGUUAAGGGGUUGAUAUCCAAAAUACAUUGAUACUUACACAAAUCAAUAAUGAAAAACCAAGCAAUUUGAUUUAAAAAGUAACUGAAUAGACAUUUUUCCAAAGAAGACAUACAGAUGGCCAACAUGUAAAUUAAAAAUUGUUUAACAUCGCUAAUUACCAGGGAAAUGCAAAUCAAAACCACAGUAAGAUCACCUCACACCUGUCAUAAUUUUUAUCAUUUAACAGAGAUAAAAGGUAUUGGUUAGGAUAUGGAGAAAAGGGAACACUUGUGCACUGUCAGUUUGAAUGUAAAUUGGUGCAGCCAUUAUGGAAAAUAGUGUCGAGUUUCCUUAUAAAACUAAAAAAAGAACUAUUCUUUGAUCUGGAAAUUUAACAUUUUGAGUAUAUAGCCAAA
rnacentral:lncRNA from 1 species